rnacentral:rRNA from 1 species
UUUACUGUCUCUUACUUCCAAUCCGUGAAAUUGACCUUCCCGUGAAGAGGCGGGAAUAUGACAAUAAGACGAGAAGACCCUAUGGAGCUUUAAUUAACCGACCCAAAGAGAUCUUGAUAAUAACCGACAGGGAUAACAUACCUCUACCAUGGGCCGACAAUUUAGGUUGGGGUGACCUCGGAGAAUAAAACAACCUCCGAGUGAUUUAAAUCUAGACUAACUAGUCGAAAGUACUACAUCACUUAUUGAUCCAAAAACUUGAUCAACGGAACAAGUUACCCUAGGGAUAACAGCGCAAUCCUAUUUUAGAGUCCAUAUCGACAAUAGGGUUU